rnacentral:lncRNA from 1 species
CACAGACUGAAAUCUCAGGAAAGCGCAUUUACACCCCUGAUUCCCCAGGCAGCCACUUCUCAUACACCAAGGCACAAGCCAGUUUCUCCAAGGACAAGGACAGUCGUCGUGAUUAUUAUUAUUUUUUUUAACACAAGCUUCUGUGAUGCAGUCUCCCUCCUCUAAUGUCCAUUUAUUUGAAUUCUGCCCCUUCUUAAUAAAAAUUUCACAUUUCCUGCACAUAAAACCACAGGGGUGGCUUACAGAAGGAGGGAGAGAGGAGAAGGCAGACCAGCCGGGAGAGUGACCAUCAGAAAGGAGGAGAGGGAUAAAGAAGGUCAGGUUCUUGGGGACAGGGGGAGGAUGCAGUCACCACCUGCUCCUUCCUCCAGGUGGCUCUCGCUCUGGGUCUGUCUGUGAUGAGCAGUCCCGUUUUCUGGUUUUCUCUUCUGUCACCUUGCCUGAUUCUUUGAAUCACAUCUGCCUUCCCCACUAACCACACCCCCUGAGGCCAAGGUCCUUGUUGAUGCCCCCAGUCCCUUUCCGUGUGGGCCACAAUGAUGUUCCACACACAUAUAUUUAAAGAACGGGUAACCCCUCUUGCCCACGGGAGUGCAAGUGGGCGAAUCGCCAGCUUGUUGCUGAUUUCCAGAAACUUCCACAGCUCUGAGGAACUGUCCUUCUCUGCAGUCAGCAUGCAAAGCUGCUCAGUAUCUGAGCCAUGGGACAUGAGAGCCAGACUUAGCCUGACUCUGGGGAGACGGAGGAGUGGGGAUGUUUUCCCUGUACCCCAGGACACUCCCCAUGCCUGUGGAGCUUCAUCAGGUCAACAUCAUUCCAUUUCAAGGGAUAGAAACAUUAACAACAGCAGGUGAAGUUCUUUACCUGUAACAGCUUAGGAC